UACGAAGGGGACUAGCGUUGUUCGGAAUUACUGGGCGUAAAGCGCACGUAGGCGGAUUUGUAAGUCAGGGGUGAAAUCCCGGGGCUCAACCUCGGAACUGCCUUUGAUACUGCAAGUCUCGAGUCCGAUAGAGGUGGGUGGAAUUCCUAGUGUAGAGGUGAAAUUCGUAGAUAUUAGGAAGAACACCAGUGGCGAAGGCGGCCCACUGGAUCGGUACUGACGCUGAGGUGCGAAAGCGUGGGGAGCAAACAGG
rnacentral:rRNA from 1 species